GGAGGUCAGGGUAGUUAUUUCUUCCUUGCUUUGCCUCAGGCCAUGCCUCUGACUACAUUGCAUCAGAAUUGCCAGGAGGCAGAGGGGCUAUGCAGCCAGACACAGAGCAAAGUUCAUUCCACGGAAACGACAGCAAGGACUCCUCCGCAGCCACUGCUGGACUCCAGAAUGUGAUGACCACCAUGAGAACUCCACCAGCUGUGAUGCUGAGCCUACCUCUGCUGCCCUUGGACACUCACUCCCAAAUAAAGUUCAGAUUGCUCUCUCUGAUUAUCUAACUUGUUAAGUCCACAUCAUUUUCCCCACCCUAG
rnacentral:lncRNA from 1 species